rnacentral:rRNA from 1 species
GAUGAACGCUGGCGGCGUGCCUAAUACAUGCAAGUCGAGCGAACGGACGAGAAGCUUGCUUCUCUGAUGUUAGCGGCGGACGGGUGAGUAACACGUGGAUAACCUACCUAUAAGACUGGGAUAACUUCGGGAAACCGUAGCUAAUACCGGAUAAUAUUUUGAACCGCAUGGUUCAAAAGUGAAAGACGGUCUUGCUGUCACUUAUAGAUGGAUCCGCGCUGCAUUAGCUAGUUGGUAAGGUAACGGCUUACCAAGGCAACGAUGCAUAGCCGACCUGAGAGGGUGAUCGGCCACACUGGAACUGAGACACGGUCAAGACUCCUACGGGAGGCAGCAGUAGGGAAUCUUCCGCAAUGGGCGAAAGCCUGACGGAGCAACGCCGCGUGAGUGAUGAAGGUCUUCGGAUCGUAAAACUCUGUUAUUAGGGAAGAACAUAUGUGUAAGUAACUGUGCACAUCUCGACGGUACCUAAUCAGAAAGCCACGGCUAACUACGUG